GUAGGCGGCAAGCGUUGUCCGGAAUUAUUGGGCGUAAAGCGCGCGCAGGUGGUUCUUUAAGUCUGAUGUGAAAGCCCCCGGCUCAACCGGGGAGGGUCAUUGGAAACUGGGGAACUUGAGUGCAGGAGAGGAAAGUGGAAUUCCACGUGUAGCGGUGAAAUGCGUAGAUAUGUGGAGGAACACCAGUGGCGAAGGCGACUUUCUGGCCUGUAACUGACACUGAGGCGCGAAAGCGUGGGGAGCAAACAGGGAUUAGAUACCCUGGUAGUCCACGCCGUAAACGAUGAGUGCUAAGUGUUGGGGGGGUUUCCCGCCCCUCAGUGCUGCAGCUAACGCAUUAAGCACUCCGCCUGGGGAUACGGUCGCAAGACUG
rnacentral:rRNA from 1 species